UACGUAGGGUGCAAGCGUUGUCCGGAAUUAUUGGGCGUAAAGAGCUCGUAGGCGGUUCGUCGCGUCUGCUGUGAAAACUCGGGGCUUAACUCCGGGCCUGCAGUGGGUACGGGCAGACUAGAGUGCGGUAGGGGGCCAUGGAAUUCCCGGUGUAGUGGUGGAAUGCGUAGAGAUCGGGAGGAACACCCGUGGCGAAGGCGGUGGCCUGGACCGAUGCUGACGCUGAGGCGCGAAAGCGUGGGGAGCGAUCCGG
rnacentral:rRNA from 1 species